rnacentral:rRNA from 1 species
GAUGAACGCUGGCGGCGUGCUUAACACAUGCAAGUCGAACGGAAAGGCCAGUGCUUGCCCUGGUGCUCGAGUGGCGAACGGGUGAGUAACACGUGGGUGAUCUGCCCUGCACUUUGGGAUAAGCCUGGGAAACUGGGUCUAAUACCAGAUAGGACCAUGCUUUGGAUGGUGUGGUGGAAAGUUUUUUCGGUGUGGGAUGAGCUUGCGGCCUAUCAGCUUGUUGGUGGGGUAAUGGCCUACCAAGGCGUCGACGGGUAGCCGGCCUGAGAGGGUGUACGGCCACAUUGGGACUGAGAGACGGCCCAGACUCCUACGGGAGGCAGCAGUGGGGAAUAUUGCACAAUGGGCGCAAGCCUGAUGCAGCGACGCCGCGUGGGGGAUGACGGCCUUCGGGUUGUAAACUCCUUUCGCAACUGACGAAGCUUUUUGUGACGGUAGGUUGAGAAGAAGCACCGGCUAACUACGUG